rnacentral:piRNA from 2 species
UUGAGAAUAUGUCUUCAGUUCCUUAUUUU